rnacentral:lncRNA from 1 species
UUUGGGCUUCCAGUUCUUCUAACCGUUUUGCUUUUAUCCAAUGUACCUAGUAUUCUUCUCAUCCCGCUUUAUUAUCUAUCUGUCUCCUACUUCAACUGCAUGACAAUAGUAUCUCCUUCCACGUUUUGGGCAAACCUCAACUUUGUUGUCAUGCGGACAGCCAUUCUUCUCCCGUUGCUCUUAGUUGUUAGAAGCGUAUGGUUAUCGAAGCAACCAAAGUACAGGGAAAUCAGACAAUUACGUAGACUUUUCCGCAAGUAGAAUAAUGUUGGAAUCAUUCAACGGUUGCGAAUGUCAAUGUAGUUUAUAUGUUCUCUUAUGUUAUGUACUUUUUUCCAUUUUCUCUGGAUUAUCGAUAAAAAAUUUAUGUAAUUGCUUUGGAUAAAUUUAAUAAAUAAGAUUACUGUCGAAACCGCUUUUUUGAAAAAAAAAAAUUUGGUUGUCGACUUUAAAAAUAAAACUGGAGUCGUCACCGAUCCUUUAUUAAGGUGCGAUCGGCCCACCUUAAAAAUUAUUUUGGCCUACGAAUUUUGAGAAAACGAGUUCGGGAGUCAGUUACGCACGAGGAAGUGUUAGCACCCUCGUAACGCCCAAAAUCGGUACCAAAUUGAUUAUUUGAUGUCUUAGUGUCGAAGGUUAAAAAGAUUUUUAAAACAACUCAAAUGAUGAAAUCUGAAAAGGAUACUCAAUUGUUCAAGUCAUGUAAAGAAAUCGAGUCCCAAUACGUUAGGGUACAAUUUCUCAAAAUUCUCGAACUUUGAAUAUCACUUUUAUUUUAUGCGAAAAUUUUCAUUUUGGGAAAGUAACAUGCCACACCCAAUACGUUAGGACACGACAAGUUAAGUUCCCAAAAAUGAUUUUUAUUCUCAUGCAUUUUGAAUAAAGAAUAUUCCCAGCUUUUUAAGAUUGACAAAGAAAAUCAGAACCCAAUGCGUUAGGGCUCAAUUUUCCUCGGAAAUCCCAAACUUCGAAUAAUGCUUUUAUUAAAAAAACCUUUGAAUCAUGAAAAUAACUUUGAUAUACGGUUAAAACCAAAAUAUAUUUUCAAAAGGGUACAUUGAAAAGUUAAUGUACAAUAUGAUACAAAACUUCAAUUUAAAAUACAUGUAUAUAUGUGUCUUUUCAAAAUAUAAGUAUGAGACAUAAAUAAAUUUUGAAAACGUGUAUGAGCAUAUAUUAAAACGGGUAUAUAUAAGUAUACGUAUAUAUAAAAAAAAUGAAAUAUAUAAAACAAAACAAAAACCUAUUAUAAUUUUCUAAGAAAAUAUGCAUGUAUGUAUAUGUAUGCGAAAUUUAUGAAAAUAAGAUAAAAGUAUAAAAAUAUGUACAUGUGUAUAUAUUUACAAAAAAGUAUACAUAUAAAAUAUAAAGUAUAUAUAAAAAGUAAAUAACAAAAAUAAAAAAAACAUAGGUAUAAAAUAUAUGCAUUUAUUUAUAAAACUUUAAUAUAUAUAUAUAUACCUAUAUAAAAAAAACCCAUAUGUAUAUUAUAUAUAAAAAAACUAUGCGUAUAUAUAUAUGUAUAGAAAAUAUGAUAAUAAUCAAUAAUAAUAACUAAUAUAAUAAAAAUAAUUAAUUUUAAUGAUAAAAUAAUUAAUAACAAGGGACCCAAAUUGAAACUACAGGAAACUUUCAGGUAAACAUUUAAAAUAAUAAAAGCUGAAGACUAAUUUGUAGUGCCCUGGAAACAUCAGGGAGUAAACGAGCAAAUAUACCAGCCCCUUAUACGCAGCGUUUUCAUGUUGGACCAAAUUGAAACAGGAAACAGACGUGCGGUCAAAAUUAAAAAUAAAAAAAAUUGUAUUGAAGGUGACUCAAAAACAGAGGGACCAGUUGCGCAAAUUCUCCAUUCAGGGCCAGAACGCGCGGACCCUGCUUGCGGGUCGGGUCGACGCGCGGAUCUGGCCCCUUGCAAAACGGCGCCGUUUCACUCUUAUUAUUUAAAACAAUUUUCUUCUUCUUUUUUUCUAAAAUCUGUAGCCAACAAACAAAAAAACUUUUAACCCUCUGCUAGGUUUUUUUUAUUUAAAAAAACUCCUUUUGUUUUUGCGCCGUCGCUCGUCGGCCACCGGAGCUCCGAUGACGGCAGAGAUGGUAGCAAACGGCGGCCCGAACACAGAGGUAAACUCCUCUUCACUCUCUUCUCUUUAUAAAUCAACAGUAAACAUGGAAGAAAAAAAAUGAACGCCGAAAAAAAAACCACCUUUAUAUUCAAGAAAAGUUUGUAUUUUCCUUUCUUUUUCUCUGUAUUUUUCAGUGUUUUUGUGUGCACUCCUUUACACCGAAAAUCCCCCCUUUAUUCUCUUUACAAAUCUGUUUAUAUAUAACCGAAAAAUAUAAAAAAAUGCAAAAUCAAAGAAAUAUUUUCUGUUAUUGUUGCACUUUCUGCCAUUUUCCAGUUUUUUCUCGCAGGUAUGGGCACUGUUGGGGAGUGCUCACGCUCGUGGAGGCGCAAAUCGCGCGGAGGGAGGACUCUGGCCCGCAUUGUGCGGCGGCUGGAGUUGCUGGAGGCUGCCAUUAGGGUUUGGGGUAUGGGGGUUGCUAGUUGGGCCAGGUUUAGGGUUAUUGGGCCUGUAUAUUUGGUUUUUUAGUGGGCCGGACAAUUUGGGCUUGUACAGUUGCCCCUCUUUGCUGGUUGUCGUAUAACGGGAACAGAGCAAAGACUACAAGGCCCAAUUGUGCCCGGUCUUCCUGAGUCUUAACUUCUUCCAUGCCUCUCUUCUUUAGGUAGCCUCAUUCAUUCCUACUGCAUUUUCAGAGGUAUAGGAACUAGCUUCAAUCCACUCCACCGCAAUGUCAGGGAGAUAGGCUUCGUACGUUUUAGCUUCUCAAAAAGAACAAAAUUUGCUAUCUUUAAUCUGCUCCAUUGCAACUUCAGGGAGAUAAGACUUGUAGCUUCAAUUUGUUCUGCUACAACUUAAAGAUAAGUCCGAUGCGAUCUGCUUUACUGCAACUUCAGAGAGAUGAGAUCUGUGGUCUUAAUCCACUCCAUUGCAACUUCAAGGAGAUUGGAUUGGUUACUUUUGUAUCCUCCACUGCAACUUCAGGGAGACAAGACUUGUAUCUUCGAUCUACUUCACCACCAGUAUGGGAAGACAAGAUCUGCUUUCUUCGAUCUACUUCACGCCAAUACAUGAAGACAAGAUCUGCUUUCUUCGAUCGAUUCCACUACCGAUCGGGGAGAUAGAAUUACUGGCUUCAAUAUACUCCACUGCAACUUCAGGGAGGUAAAAUUCGCCAUCUUCGAUCUGCUCCACUACUGCUUAGGGAGGCAAAAUCUGUAAUCUUCAAUCUAUUCCACUGUUGCCCAGGGAGAUAUAAUUACUGGCUUCAAUGUACUCCACUGUAACUUCAGGGAGGUAAAAUCUGACAUCUUCGAUCUGCUCCACUACUGCUUAGGGAGGCAAGAUCUGUAAUCUUCAAUCUACUUCGCCACCAGUAUGGGAAGAUAAAAUCUGUAUAUUCGAUCCACUUCACUACCGAUAUAAGAAUACAAGACCUACUAUCUUUGAUGAAGACAAGAUCUGUUUUCUUCGAUCUACUUCGCCACCAGAAAAGGAAGACAAGAUCUGGUAUCUUUGAUCCACUUCGCUACCAAUAUAGGAAGACAGGAUCUAGUAUCUUUGAUCUACUUCACGCCAGUACAUGAAGACAAGAUCUGUUUUCUUCGAUCUACUUCGCCACCAGUAUGGGAAGACAAGAUCUGGUAUCUUUGAUCUACUUCGCUACCAAUAUAGGAAGACAGGAUCUGGUAUCUUUGAUCUACUUCACGCCAGUACAUGAAGACAAGAUCUGUUUUCUUCGAUCUACUUCGCCACCAGAAUAAGAAGACAAGAUCUGGUAUCUUUGAUCCACUUCGCUACCAAUAUAGGAAGACAGGAUCUAGUAUCUUUGAUCUACUUCACGCCAGUAUAUGAAGACAAGAUCUGUUUUCUUCGAUCUACUUCGCCACCAGUAUGGGAAGACAAGAUCUGGUAUCUUUGAUCAACUUCGCUACCAAUAUAGGAAGCCAGGAUCUGGUAUCUUUGAUCUACUUCACGCCAGUACAUGAAGACAAGAUCUGUUUUCUUCGAUCUACUUCGCCACCAGAAAAAGAAGACAAGAUCUGGUAUCUUUGAUCCACUUCGCUGCCAAUAUAGGAAGACAGGAUCUAGUAUCUUUGAUCUACUUCACGCCAGUACAUGAAGACAAGAUCUGUUUUCUUCGAUCUACUUCGCCACCAGUAUGGGAAGACAAGAUCUGGUAUCUUUGAUCUACUUCGCUACCAAUAUAGGAAGACAGGAUCUGGUAUCUUUGAUCUACUUCACGCCAGUACAUGAAGACAAGAUCUGUUUUCUUCGAUCUACUUCGCCACCAGAAAAAGAAGACAAGAUCUGGUAUCUUUGAUCCACUUCGCUGCCAAUAUAGGAAGACAGGAUCUAGUAUCUUUGAUCUACUUCACGCCAGUACAUGAAGACAAGAUCUGUUUUCUUCGAUCUACUUCGCCACCAGUAUGGGAAGACAAGAUCUGGUAUCUUUGAUCAACUUCGCUACCAAUAUAGGAAGCCAGGAUCUGGUAUCUUUGAUCUACUUCACGCCAGUACAUGAAGACAAGAUCUGUUUUCUUCGAUCUACUUCGCCACCAGAAUAGGAAGACAAGAUCUGGUAUCUUUGAUCCACUUCACUACCAAUAUAGGAAGACAGGAUCUAGUAUCUUUGAUCUACUUUAGGCCAGUACAUGAAGACAAGAUCUGUUUUCUUCGAUCUACUUCGCCACCAGUAUGGGAAGACAAGAUCUGGUAUCUUCGAUCUACUUCACGCCAGUACAUGAAGACAAGAUCCGCUUUUUCUGAUUGAUUCCACUACCAACCGGGGAGGUAGAAUUACUAGCUUCAAUAUACUCCACGGAAACUUCAGGGAGGUAUAAUCCGCCAUCUUCGAUCUGCUCCACUACUGCUUAGGGAGGCAAGAUCUGUUUCUUUGAUCUACUUCACGCCAGUACAUGAAGACAAGAUCUGUUUUCUUGGAUCUACUUCACCACCAGUAUGGGAAGACAAGAUCUUUUGUAUUCAACAUGCUCCACUGUUGCUCAGGGAGAUAAGGCUUCAUGAUUUCACUGAUCUGCUCUCUGUAGAACAUGACCUGUAUGAUUUAUUUCAUGAACCAAUUAUGCCUAAUGAUUAGGAUGUCAUGAUCAGAAUGAAUCAAAUGCCCCUAACUAGAUAUGUAUGAAUGACAUUUGAAUGAAAGCAAAAUGUCAUGAAAAUGAUAUUUUAACGCUUGAGUUAUUAUUACUCCAAGUUUAUUAAGGUUUAAUUGCAAAUGUGCUAUAGCGCCUCUUUGCUCGGCUGGCGUCUCCAAAGAACAUUUGAUCAGAUUGCCCCCCACUGUAAACCUCUAAGUUUGAUCCACUGGGAUGCAAAAAUUUGUACCAUCUUUCUCCCGUUGUAAACCAAGAUGUGAAAGAUUUGGCCUUUUCUCAAUCCUCUGUUAUCACAAUACAGGAUGUGAAACUUUUUGGUCUCUUACACCAUUCCCAGGGUGUUGUACCAAAAUGCUCAUGCACAAAUGAAGAAAUCUUCUCCAAGAACAACUUCCUCUUAUUAUUCGGUGAUCAUUGCUUGCUUGUUCAUUGAAGCUUUGUCACCAACAUGACAUCUUGCCAUUUUAUUCAAUUUAGACAAGAAAAUUCAAAGGGAUAGUCUUUAAUUUAGAAUCUUCUUUAUCAGAUUUCCAACCUGGUGCGUUUUAAACAAUAGUCCUGUUUGAGGUUCCUAUAUUAUUCAGAGACUUCUAGAGUAAUAUGCAAAACUUCCCUUGUGAAAGUUUUACUAGUCCAUUAAUCAUUAUUCUAAUGCAACAUGCUUGCAAAAAAGAUUAUAGAUAAGAAUAGAGUUGGUUCUGCGCAUAACUUGAAAUGAAUAAGUUGUCAAAGAUAAUAAAGAUAAAUGACAAAGAAAUGUGUAUCUUGGAAAUGAAUGAAGUGUUCCAAGAAUAACAAAAAUGAUAUACAGAUUAGGUGCCCCAGAUAUCGUAGCUUGAACUUCUCUGUACAAACUUGCUGAAGAGCUUUCUGGGCUUGACAUGUGUUUAGAAGAUCUACCAUACUCUAUCGAUGCCCCAAGAUGUCGCAUACCAUUUCCUGCUGAUUCUGGUAUAGCAAGACCACUGUAUAUCCCAUUUUGAUCAGUAUUUGAGCUGCUCUGAUUACUUCAUGCCCUAUUCUGAUCAAUAUUUGAGCCGCCCUUUUCGGGUUUUCAACUCAAAUCCCCUUUGGUCUAAGGCGCCCUUUGCGAGUUUUCACCUUAACCUCUCCAUUUUUUACUCAAAGCUCCCUUUGUAGGGUUUCACAUUGGCCUUUUUUUUGACUCAAAGCGCCAUUUGUAGGCUUUCACCUUGGUCCCACCUUUUAGGAAAAGUACUUCCUAACGGAAUUUGAGUUUACAUAGCUUGGAGAAUCUUUACCAUCCAUCUUACUCAGGAUCAAAAUUUUCCCCAGAAAAGGCUUUCUUUAUGACAUAUCCUCUUAAUUUGGCAUCCAUCUUCCUCUAAAAUCCUUUUGUAUAUGAAGGAUUUGCUUCCCCUUGUGAAAAUUUCUAAGACGAGCCUUUGGAUCUUCCUCUUAGGAUAAAAAUGCAGAGAAAUGACAAUUCGACUUCAAUGAGCAAAGCUAUGAUAAACCAAAGUGAAAGACAUUGCCCCAGUAAAGGAAUUUCACUGAGCAUAUCCGGGUAUAACCAUGUGAAGACAUCAUUGAAUUCCUAGGGUAACUCAUAAGGUCUUGAUUUGCUUCUUCAGUCAUACAUGUUCCCUCAAGGUCACAGUCUUCAUUGUCUUUUCAUGAGGUAAAAUCUUCUUCCUGCUCUACCAUCCUUAAUAAAUCCAGAAAUAAGCUACGAUCCAUGUCAUCUUCAAAGUUGUGAGAUCCCUCUAAACACAUGUCUCACUCAAAAGGAGAUUCUAAAUUUGUAGCAGUGUCAUUCAUGUCAUUGAUAUUUGGGGACCUAUAGUGGGUACCAAAAAAAGAAUGUAUGAAUAAUAUAAAUGAACGAAUGAAUGAUUUGGCAGGAGAAAUCCAAUAGAAUGAAGAAAACGUAAAGACUGAAAGAACAUUUGCUCAAAGAUUAUUGCAAUAAUGUAUUCAUUAAAAAUAAUAAUGUUCAGACAUGAGUCUAUUUCACAAAGGAGUUCUUAUUGAUUUUAGGCUAAAAGCAACAAGUGUGUUCUGAACAUUACUCUAUCAAGCUCUAAAUAACAUAGGAGUUUCCUCUGCAGUCCCAUUAUUUAUAACACCUCCCAGGCGGAUAUCUGACCAGAACCCUUUUAAUUGCGUCUGCACAUAUGGCGUCGAUGUGAAAAUCUCAUCACUUCUCUACACAUCACACACCCCCCAUUAUCAAUCAUGAUUGGGUAAUGGACUCUCUGCACUUGAUGAGUCACCAAAUUUAACAACACCCAUGUCGAUGAGUCUUUCAACUUGCUUCUUGAAGGCAGUGUAAUUCUCAAUCGAAUGUCCCGUAGUUCCCGCAUGGUAUUCACAUUGCGCGUUCGCAUCAUACCAUUUGGGAUACGGAGGUUGUAGAGGCUUCACAAGAAAAGGGGAAACAACAUGGGCAUCAAACAGAUUUUGAUACAGUUUCCUAUAUGGUAUUGGAAUUGGCGUGAAUCGGGGCCUCUCUGUGUUUUGUCCUGUACUAGCUUUCUGUCUCGAUGAACCUUGCUGGUUAGCAGCCACCUUUCUUGGCUGACUUACCGUAACUGAUUUAGAGUAACCCAUGUUGUUCACCUCAUCUUCUCUUCUCCUUGAGACUGACCUCUUGUUACUCUCUCCAACAUCGAUCUUUCCACUUCUUAUGGCAUUUUCGAUCAUCUCGCCAUUCAUGAUUAUGUCGGGAAAGCUUUUUGUAGCACUCCCCAACAUAUGUGUAAUGAACGGUGCCUUCAGGGUGUUAAUGAACAACAUGGUCAUUUCUUUUUCCAAGAGCGAUGGCUGAACUUGGACUGCGACCUCCCUCCAUCUCUGCGCGUAUUGUCUAAAGCUUUCACUCGGCUUCUUCUCCAUAUUUUGAAGGGUGAUCCUAUCAGGAGCCAUGUCCGUCACAUGACUAUACUGUUUCAUGAAUGCUUGUGCCAAGUCCCUCCAUGAUCCAAUCGUGGCACGACUCAACUGAUUGUACCACUUGGAUGCUGCCCCAGUAAGGCUGUCUUGGAAACAGUGUAUCAAGAGUUGGUCGUUGUUAACAUAACCCGUCAUUCGCCUGCAGAACAUGGUGAUGUGAGCUGCUGGGCAGCUUGUCCCAUUGUACUUUUCAAAUUCAGGCAUCUUAAACUUAUGAGGGAGAACAAGGUCUGGCACCAAACUCAGCUCUUUUGCGUCAAUGCCCCGAUUACUUUCAGUGACUUCCAUCGCUUUAAACUUCUCCUCGAGCCACUUGCAUCGAUCGUCUAACUGUUUCGGUAAUUCCACCUUUAUUCUUUCCUUCUCAACCACUUCAUCAAAGUCAGGAAUGGCAGAGUUAACAUGAUUAUUUUCAAGAUUAGAACUCGGCCCAGUUUGGAGGUUCGAAAUACCAGCCCAAAACUGCUGAGGCAUGAUAGUGACAGUAGAUUUGCGCGGGUAUUCAGCUUGGGCUCGCGUAUGUGGAGGGGUGAAACCUAGAGUGUAAAGAAUUUCAUCAUCAUUUCCCUCAUCGACAUUUGCCAUGGGACCCUUUCCUUUAUCACUUCCCUUAGUUAUCAGUCGGGUUAACUUUUCCACUAUAUCCUCCUGAGAUUCCCGUAUCUUCUCAGACAUUUCUUGCUUCAUUUUGUCUAACCGCUCCUGCAUUUGUAGCUGAAGCCGGUCUUGCAUCUCCUUCUGGUACUGUUCGAGCUUCUCUAAUCUCUGAUCCAUAUCUUUUGUCUUUGCUCGAGUGCCGUAACGGUGCUUGGUAGGUUGGUUGGUUUCCAGGUUAACUGAGCAAUGAUUUUAAUUAAUUAGGAUCAUUUAGAGGUGUUUAAUGCAUAUGAUGCAAUGUGAUGCAAAUGCAUGAAAUGAAUGCCUAAAGAGAUGUUAACUUUGAUUCAAUUACAUUCAAAAAACUUUACUAGAAGACGAAUUUCUUUACAUAAAGUAGAUAUAUAUAUACGACUUUGCCCUCAUAUUCCAGUCGAAGACAUCUUCUCCUUCUCUAUCCGGAUGCUAGGAUAAACCUUGCGAAUUCUUCAAAAGGAACGUCUCUUCUACCUCCUGGGCUGUGACUCGUUGCUCCUUUAUCGUCGCGAUGCUCGUUGGCUUCCCUUAAAAAAAAGUUCAGCGGCUCUCGAAUAAUCUUCAUCUGUAAUGGCCCAAAUUCAAAAUUAUCGGAAUAGUGGUUUCGUAACCACAAAUCUGAUUUAAAGAAAAAUUUAUUUUAAUAUUUGUGCAUGAAUAUUGAUAUGAUAGGAAAAAUCGUAUGAAAAUAUAGAUAGAAAAAUUUUACUGAUUAAGUGGUUAGUUAGAAAAAGAAAUUAUUGAAGGAAUUAGGUAAAAAUAAGAUAUCGAGACUUUGAUCUAGUAAAACCGAGUCAAAAAUAUUUUUAUAAAUAUUUAUGAAGUGUUAGUAAUAUGGUAUUAAAAUUUCGUUAGAAAAUAUUAAUGUUUGGGUAGUCAAUUAAGUGAAAAGGACUAAAUUGAAAAAAAUGUAAAAGUUACUAGAGGGAUUAAAUAGCUCAAUUGUGAAAUGAGGAGGGAUAUAAAUUGCAAAUAACCUCAAAAGGAGAUAUUUUGGGCGGCAUACGCUGAGAAAAAUCAGGAGAAUUGAAGAAAUAAGGGUAAAAUUGGAAUAUUACAAAAUUUGCUUUAAAAGUUAGGACUAAAGUGGAAUUAUCUAGAUUUCUCUUUAAUUUUCUGCACUUUCAUCAGCCACAAACGUCCUAAGGGUUUCUUCAAGCUGGUUUUUCAUAAUUUUUGCACCAAGUGAGUUAAUUCUUGCCUUUUUCUUGUAAUUUUUGCGUUUCUAAGACUUUUACAAUUAGGUCCUAUUACUUAAUUCAUUAGUUUUUGAUUUUAUGAAUGAUAUUGAAAGUUGAUAUGAAUAUGUGCUGGAAGUUUAUGAGGAAAUAGGAUGAAAUUGAAGCUUUAAUUUGUUUAUGAGAUGAUUUUAUUAGGUAAUUCCAAUAGAAAUUGAUUUGUAGGACCUAAUUGUGAAAAAGUUUGGAAUUAAAGUUUAGUGCUGAAAUUCUUAUUUCCAAAGGUUAUAAGGUAGUUUAAAGUGAUAUAAUAAAGUGUUGAUUGAGAAAAAUUAGCUCAAUUGAGAGGUUAAUUGAGCAGGGACGAAAUUAUCAUUGUUGAAAGUUUAGGGGAAAAAUGGUAAUUAACACCAUGCACUAAAACAGUUUUGGACAGCAGCAGUACUUAACUUUGAAAAAUCACCAAAAAUUUUAGAGAUCGAAUUAGAGGAUGAAUAAAAUAUGAAAUUAAAGCUUAUUGAGUCUAGUUUCUUAUAAAAGAAACGGUGUAAGAAAUGGAAUUGUAAAUCAUGAGAUAUAAUAGAAUUUGUGAGACAAGGUCAGAAUGAAUUCGGGUUCCCCUGUUCUGACUUUGGAAAAUCAUUAAAAAUUGUAAAAAAACGAUUAUGAGUUAUAAUUUAUAUGCUUAGAAUCCUUAAUGAGUCUAUUUUCUGAGGAAAUAAAGGGAAGCAUCAUCCUAAUUCUGUACAGUGAGAUAAUUAAUUUUUAGUGAAGAGGGGUCAGAACUGUCAUACAGUGAAACAGGGGAAACUUUAAAGAAUAAACUGUACUUAUUGGCUAAACCAAAAAUUCUGAAAUUUUUAUGGUAAGAAGAUAUGUGAGUCUAGUUUCAGGAAAAAUUAACGGAUCUUAAUUUGGAGUUCUGUAGCUCAAGAUAUAAAUAAUUUAGUGACUGUGACUCAGUGAGGCAGCUUUGAAUGCACUAUAAAUAAUAAUGGAAUUGUAGAGAAAGUUACAUAUGAACAUGAAAUGUAUUAGAUUAAUGAUUAAAUUUAUUUAUUUAGAUCCGGAAAAUUCAAAUACGAAGCAAGAUCGAGGAAAAGAAAAAGUUCGGGAUUAGUAGAUUUUUGGUUACGAACAAGUGUCGAGGUAAGUUCGUGUAACUUGAAUUAUAUUCAUAAAUGCUUGAAAUGUUUGUUAUUGAUGUGAAUAUGAGUUGGAUGUUUGUUGUAUGAUAAUUGAUGAAGUAUUGAUAUUCUUGAUGAAAAGAGAAAAUAAAUCUCGGUUGAAUGAAAGGAAAAUUCGAUGGAUCUCUGAAAAGGAAUUGACGGUAAAAAGGAUCUAGCCCGGACGGGUGAUCCUAUCCUGAUAUAGCCCUCCCGAAGAAUAUGUGGAAAAUGGAUUUAGCCCGGACGGGUAAUCCGAAUUAGGGUCUGAAUUUAGCCUGGACUGGUAAUUCAGAUCCAAGCUCAUUAGAGUAAUUGUCGUUGCAGGGGAUUUAGCCUGGACUGGUAAUCCCGACAAUACUCUAUGAGUUUAUAUUACAGGGGAUUUAGCCUGGACUGGUAAUCCCGCUGUAAGGAUGAGGUUCGCGGGAGUGUGCUCUCUGAAAUAGAAAUGUGCGCACAUGAAUAUGAAUUGACGGACCCGGAUUUGUACACUUAGGUGUACCCCAGAAUAUCCAUCGAAAUUCCAAGUAGUUCAACGGGAUAAAUAUGGAAAAAUAAUAAGGAAAUGGAAAUCAUGGAAUUGAUGAGCUCAUCAAUCAUUUAUCUUUGUAAUGAAUUUGUAUGAGGUUGAGUUUGUAUGUGAUAGGUAUAUGUUUAUGUGAAUUGGAUGUGUGCUUGUGUUAUUAAAUGAUGGAUGUAUAAGUAUGGUAAGUAUAAUUCCUGUUACAUGAACUUACUAAGCACAAAGUGCUUACCCUGUUUCUUUUUCCCCUGUUUGUAGAGUUAAGAGCUCGGAAGUCGGAUUUGGUCGGAGACACAUCACACUAUCAAUCUCGAGAUCUCGGUACAUAAAGGAACUUUAUUUUGGAAAUCAAUGGCAUGUAUAAGCUAGUAAAUUAGAUGUUAAUGUGAAAUGAAUGUAUGGUUAGCCAUUGGUAUGGCUAACAAAUUUUGGUUUUGGUAUGUGAUGAAAUUAUCUUAUGAAUAUGAUAAAUCUAUCUUAAAAAAAAAAAUUCGGUAAAAUCUGGUAAUGCCUUAUACUCUAUUUCGGCGACGAAUACGGGUAGGGGGUAUUACAUCAUCAGCUUGAGUCUUCGGGCAACGGAGCAAUGGUUAUGUAGUCCUCCAUUAAACUAUCAUCUUCCUCUAGUUGUGUUUUCUCGGAACAUAUUCGGGCAACCGUAUUAUUUUCCACUUUAUCAAGAAACCCAUUUCCUUAUGACAAGCUCUCUAUUAACAACCGAAUGUGAAUCAACACCUCUUUUAUGAUGAAAAAUGCAAUGCAAUCAUGAUGUCAUGCAAUCAAAACAAAAUGCAACAAGUUAGUAUCGGGUAUAAACAUUAAAUCCAAUAUAAGCAAGAAAUAAUAAAAACUCCUAGUCAGGUAUCUCCUAAGGUUUAGAGUACUUCUACCUAAGGUAAGUUCCUAAAGCUCACUAUAUGAGGUUUAGUUUCUAGAGUAAAGGUACCCGAACCAGCAGAUUCCUCGAUCCUCACCCAUUAUAGGCUCAUGUGGAUCAAGUUUAGUUCAGGGGGAUACAUUUCCCUAUGGCUGCACGGAGAUGAAAAUCUCACGAAGACAUAGGUACGGAUGUAUCCCGGAAGCGAUCCACUACCCUGCACGGAGGUGAAAACCUCACGAAGGACUAGUUUCUCGCUCCCACUUAAAGGGUAAAAUGCAAAAUGCAAAUGCAGAGUUGCCAACAUACCAAAACUCAAUGAAUACGAAGGGAACUCAUGAAAUUUUUUUUAAAACACUUUUGAUUUUCGACACAAAGACAAAUAUAAUCGGUUUAUGGCUCGACUCUCCAACGUCCCCAGUGGAGUCGCCAAGCUGUCGAAACCGCUUUUUUGAAAAACAAAAAUUUGGUUGUCGACUUUAAAAAUAAAACUGGAGUCGCCACCGAUCCUUUAUUAAGGUGCGAUCGGCCCACCUUAAAAAUUAUUUUGGCCUACGAAUUUUGAGAAAAUGAGUUCGGGAGUCAGUUACGCACGAGGAAGUGUUAGCACCCUCGUAACGCCCAAAAUCGGUACCAAAUUGAUUAUUUGAUGUCUUAGUGUCGAAGGUUAAAAAGAUUUUUAAAACAACUCAAAUGAUGAAAUCUGAAAAGGAUACUCAAUUGUUCAAGUCAUGUAAAGAAAUCGAGUCCCAAUACGUUAGGGUACAAUUUCUCAAAAUUCUCGAACUUUGAAUAUCACUUUUAUUUUAUGCGAAAAUUUUCAUUUUGGGAAAGUAACAUGCCACACCCAAUACGUUAGGACAGGACAAGUUAAGUUCCCAAAAAUGAUUUUUAUUCUCAUGCAUUUUGAAUAAAGAAUAUUCCCAGCUUUUUAAGAUUGACAAAGAAAAUCAGAACCCAAUGCGUUAGGGCUCAAUUUUCCUCGGAAAUCCCAAACUUCGAAUAAUGCUUUUAUUAAAAAAACCUUUGAAUCAUGAAAAUAACUUUGAUAUACGGUUAAAACCAAAAUAUAUUUUCAAAAGGGUACAUUGAAAAGUUAAUGUACAAUAUGAUACAAAACUUCAAUUUAAAAUACAUGUAUAUAUGUGUCUUUUCAAAAUAUAAGUAUGAGACAUAAAUAAAUUUUGAAAACGUGUAUGAGCAUAUAUUAAAACGGGUAUAUAUAAGUAUACGUAUAUAUAAAAAAAAUGAAAUAUAUAAAACAAAACAAAAACCUAUUAUAAUUUUCUAAGAAAAUAUGCAUGUAUGUAUAUGUAUGCGAAAUUUAUGAAAAUAAGAUAAAAGUAUAAAAAUAUGUACAUGUGUAUAUAUUUACAAAAAAGUAUACAUAUAAAAUAUAAAGUAUAUAUAAAAAGUAAAUAACAAAAAUAAAAAAAACAUAGGUAUAAAAUAUAUGCAUUUAUUUAUAAAACUUUAAUAUAUAUAUACCUAUAUAAAAAAAACCCAUAUGUAUAUUAUAUAUAAAAAAACUAUGCGUAUAUAUAUAUAUGUAUAGAAAAUAUGAUAAUAAUCAAUAAUAAUAACUAAUAUAAUAAAAAUAAUUAAUUUUAAUGAUAAAAUAAUUAAUAACAAGGGACCCAAAUUGAAACUACAGGAAACUUUCAGGUAAACAUUUAAAAUAAUAAAAGCUGAAGACUAAUUUGUAGUGCCCUGGAAACAUCAGGGAGUAAACGAGCAAAUAUACCAGCCCCUUAUACGCAGCAUUUUCAUGUUGGACCAAAUUGAAACAGGAAACAGACGUGCGGUCAAAAUUAAAAAUAAAAAAAAUUGCAUUGAAGGUGACUCAAAAACAGAGGGACCAGUUGCGCAAAUUCCCCAUUCAGGGCCAGAACGCGCGGACCCUGCUUGCGGGUCGGGUCGACGCGCGGAUCUGGCCCCUUGCAAAACGGCGCCGUUUCACUCUUAUUAUUUAAAACAGUUUUCUUCUUUUUUUUUAAAAAUCUGUAGCCAACAAACAAAAAAACUUUUAACCCUCUGCUAGGUUUUUUUUUUAAAAAACUCCUUUUGUUUUUGUGCCGUCGCUCGUCGGCCACCGGAGCCCCGAUGACGGCAGAGAUGGUAGCAAACGGCGGCCCGAACACAGAGGUAAACUCCUCUUCACUCUCUUCUCUUUAUAAAUCAACAGUAAACAUGGAAGAAAAAAAAAUGAACGCCGAAAAAAAAAAACCACCUUUAUAUUCAAGAAAAGUUUGUAUUUUCCUUUCUUUUUCUCUGUAUUUUUCAGUGUUUUUGUGUGCACUCCUUUACACCGAAAAUCCCCCCUUUAUUCUCUUUACAAAUCGGUUUAUAUAUAACCGAAAAAUAUAAAAAAAAUGCAAAAUCAAAGAAAUAUUUUCUGUUAUUGCUGCACUUUCUGCCAUUUUCCAGUUUUUUCUCGCAGGUAUGGGCACUGUUGGGGAGUGCUCACGCUCGUGGAGGCGCAAAUCGCGCGGAGGGAGGACUCUGGCCCGCAUUGUGCGGCGGCUGGUGUUGCUGGAGGCUGCCAUUAAGGUUUGGGGUAUGGGGGUUGCUAGUUGGGCCAGGUUUAGGGUUAUUGGGCCUGUAUAUUUGGUUUUUUAGUGGGCCGGACAAUUUGGGCUUGUACAAUUACUUUUCCCAACAGAUAUCUUUGUCCUUUGCAACCAAAAAAAAAAAAAAAACAAAGAAAAACCAACCAUCCUAUUUUCUAAUUUAAAAAAAUAUUUUCCUUUUUGUGAAAAUAGAUGUUUUCGGAGUAUUGUUGAUUCAAAAGUAACAAAUUUUUCAACAAGUCGAUAUUUUUCUCUCAAUAUUUUCUAAAAGAAUGACAAUUUCAUAAACAACAGCCAUAUUCAUGCUAUUCAAAUGUAUCUUAAUAAAACCCUAUCAUCAUUGAUGUCUAAAAGGAAUUUUUUAUCCCAUUUAAAGCUAAAAGCAACUAUUUUUUUAAAAGCCAAAUUAGCUUUUCAAAACCAUCUUUUUUAAGUCAAAUCAAAAACUUCAAAUUUCGUUUUUACUUUUCUAAAGCUAGUUUUGAGUGUCUAAAUACAAUUUUAUCUCUCAUUUAAUCUAAAACUUUUAUAAAGUAUAGGGACUAAUAGCAGAAUUUAACCCAAAUUUUGUGAUAUUUGAUUCCUCUCCCAUUUUUCUAAUCCAAACAUAAAGUUAGAAAAGGGGAGAUUCCUAUGCUGCUCCAAAUUGUAAGGUUUAUAUCUUGUAGUGAAACAAAAUUACAAAAUUAUAAUUUUGUCAUGUGCCUUUGGAUUUUAAUUUUUUUUAAUAUAUGGUAGUAUUAUAAUUUCAUUAUCGAUGUAUAAAAAAAUAAUCCAACUAUAAUUGAGACCCAGGUAAAAAGCCAGAAAAUUUAUCUUAUCUUAUCUUUCUGCUCUUUUAAUCCUUUAAUGAUCUGUUAAUUUUUGAGAAAGGUACAAAUGAAAUUCUACGUGUGAGAGGAAUGUUAAACUAAGUCGUGAUUCUCUAAACUCCUGCAUGUAUUGCAAUUGAGGUGAUGGAUACAAUGAAUGUUUUGUAGAGUGUAAAUUCUUCUUCUUCUUCGAUUAAGGUUCAAUUUAUCACUUUGUAUAAGAUUAAGGGAAAGGGUAUGUAUGAGUAUAGCUUAAGAUUGUUUUUUUAUCCAUAAAAAAAAUGGUGAUCUAUUUUAUUUUAUUCUUUGCUUAAGGAUCGCGUGAUAUCCUUGAAAAAAAAAUAUAAAGUAGUAGGAAUAAAUCCCAAAAUUAUAUAUAAAUUAUGGUUUAAUGUGUAAUUGUAUACAUAAAAUUUUAAUUUGAUCCAAUUCUUCUAAAUUAUUAACACAAUUAUCGAUAUAACAUCAUUUUAUGUUUAUAUAUUGCAUACAUAAAUAAUUAUAUUCAUCGGAUAUAAAAAUAAAUUGAUAUAUUUAUUUCUUUAAAUGUGCAUGACUAAAUCAAAAUUGAAGUUUCAAGUAUACAUUUGAACCACAAUUAGAGUUUUAUGUGUAUAAUUACACCAAAUUAAAAUUAUGUAUACAAUUGCACAUUAAAUCAAAGUUCAUAUAUAAUUUUGAGAUUUAUCCUUAACUAAUAUAAAGAACGGAGAUUUAUUAGCGUAACUGUUUAUUUCAUUCGUAAAUCACUUAACUUUUCUUAUUGUUGUCCAUGAUUAUCAUUUUUUGUUCACAUUAGUACUAAAACUUUGUUAUUUUUCUCAAUUUGAUCUCUAAACUCAAAAUUUUUUAAGGUAUGAUGAUGUGACAUUAUGAGAUUAUGCAAUGUCAUCACUUGAAUUUUUUUAAAAGUUUUCUUUAUGGUUUCCCCCCUUAAAUUGGUUCAUUUUAUAAAAUUAUUAUUUUAAUAAACAAAUUUCAUGUUAGAAACUGAGAAAAAAAUAUUUACUUAUAAAUAUUUUUAUAAUUUUAUAUAUUUUUUAUAAUCUUAUGUAUUUUUAUCAAGAAUGAGCUUGUAAAUAGUUUUUUUAUGUUUUGAAGUUUUUUUACUUUUAAGAAUUAAGACUAAAUUGAUAAAAUGUGUGAAGUUGAGGGUUAAAUUUGUUAAAAUUUUUUAUUAUGCCAAUAAAAAGAGGCCAUUAAAGUGAUUUAAUGGAUGAGUGACCAAAAUAUUAAAUUUCAAUAACGUUAAUAACUAAAAUAGUAAUUUUUAAACCUGCGUAAACCAAAACAAAAAUAUGCUAGUAAUUGGAUGUCUAUUUUUAUAAUUUACCCAUAAUAAUAUUAAAUGCAAGAUGCAAAGGUAAAAAGAAUCCAAUUAAAUUAUCAUUUUUUAUGAAACCCAAAAAUACAAAAUUAAAAGACUAAAAAAGAAAAUAAAUAAAAUUAUUAAUUUUUGAGAAGGAUCAUCUAAAAGGGGUGAAGUGCACUUACAUGUUCCCUCGAUAGUCUAUGAUUUGAGAGGAGUUAGACGUAAAUUAUUCUGGUUCUUUGAAUAAGAUUCAAUUAAUCACUUUGGAUGGAUUAAGGAAAAGAGUAGCUAUGGAGAUUGCUUAAGAUUGUUUUUCAUCACUUUGAAUCAUUCUUUACUUCAAGUCGAACAUACUUUACAACUAAUUUUUGCAAUUUUCAAAUAAAUGAUAGUUAGUGGUUCAUGUCAUUUUGCAACUCUCCUAUUUUGUUCAUCACUUUCAUUACUUAAAAGAGUACUAUAUAAUAAUAAUUCUUCACUUCACAUGGCAGCUGGAACAGGAAAUAUUGAUGCCUUUUACGCUCUAGUUCGAGAGCAUCCAUACAUGUUGGAGCAUAUUGAUCAGAUUCCUUCCAUCGAUACUCCACUUCACAUAGCAGCAAAUGAAGGCCAAAUUAAUUUUGCAACGGAGAUGAUGAACUUGAAGCCUUCAUUUGCUCGGAAGCUGAACCAAGACGGGUUUAGCCCCAUGCACUUGGCGUUCAGAAAUGGGCACCCCAAGCGAAUGCUUCGACUGUUGAAAAUCGAUAAUGAUCUGGUUCGCGUCAAAGGAAGGCAAGGGAUGACCCCAUUCCUUUGGGCUGCCACAGUGGGGAACAGGGAUUUAAAUUGCGGUCGCAUUGCGUUUAUCGUGGUUGCGGGCAUAACGGAUGCUAUUGCGGUUAUUGCGAGUAUCGAGGUCGUGAAUUUUAAAAAAAAUUCACACAACUUAUUGUAAAAUAUAAUAGCAGUUUCGGACGGUGCCGCUACCGCUAUUUAACGGCGCUAUUUCGGUAACGGACUGCUAUUUAAAUCCCUGGACUGGACUGGGGAACUCUAAUCUUUUAUUCCAGUUCCUUGAAGCUUGCCCUGAAUGCAUGGAAGAUGUGACGGUUCGAAACGAGACUGCAUUAAGCUUCGAAAAACGACCACAUCGGAGCUUUGAAUCUCUUGAUUGGAUGGCUUCAAAGGAACUGUCGUGGAGGAGCCUUUGAUUUGUCAGAAAAGGUUGUAAAUUGGAGAGAUGAAUAUGACAACACUGUGUUGCACAUUACAGCUAAAAAGGAACAAUAUGAGGUAUCUGCAAUGCAACUAUAUUAUCGUUUACUUUUGGGGUUUGAAUUUCUUUUUGCUGCCGGUAUUUAUCUGAUUGUGAUAAGUUUGAUUCUUUUGGUAGUGUUUGUAAGAGGAAUUUGGAUUUGACUUUCUGUUUUAUAAAUUCAUUAUUUCUAUUUUUUUUUGUUUGGAUUUUUUUGUUUAGAUGACUCAAAUUUAGAUUUGAGAUUCAACGACUUAAUUUUUUUAAAAUUUCAUUAUCAAGGAGGAUUUUGAAUAAAAUUGUCUGAACCCGACCAGUUAGAUCGAGAACUAAUUAAUGUAUUGAUUCAGAGAAAGACAUUAAGUCGAUUGAAUUGGACAAAAAACCCCUUGAUCAAGUAGUUAAAACAGACAUUUUUAUUUUAUGAACCUUUAAUGAUUUAUUUAAUAAAACUGAACUGAUAGGUUAAACUAUCAAUUUGAUCAUUAGUUUUCAUAAUAAAGUGGAAAACACAUUUUAUUCAUUCAAAAUCUAGGUUUUCAGAACCAAACUAUAGUGGUCAAACCUAUCAAACUGAUUGCUUUUUCCACUUUGUUUCAUUAAGUCGAGGUUUUCAAAAUAAGUAGUUUGAUCGGUUUGACUAUUAAUUUGAUUAUGAAAACCUUGAUCUUGAAUGAAUAAAAUGAUUUUUCCACUUGGUUAGGAACAGUAGUUUAGGCUAAAACUAAUUGGUGUUUGUAUAUUAUUUGAAAGAGUUUUUUUUUCUGAAAGAAUGUAACUUUCUGUUUUUAUAUUUUUAUAAGUUUUUGGGUUAAAAUAUUAGAAAGGACUCUCAAUUUUAUUGUAUUAUUUAUAUUUUGUUUACACUUAAAUAAAAUCAUAUAAUUUGAUUUGUACUUAAAUAAAUGGACUUAGAUGUAAAUUAAGAGUCGAGGGUUUAUAAAUUAAAAUCGUGAAAAUUAUGGUAUAAAUGAAAAUUUUAAAUAUUUAUACUGUACUAAAUUAAAUGCAUUAAGCUUCGUCACUGUUUUCAAAAUUGGACUGGCUUGUCAAAUCGAUUGGAUCGUGAACCAACCGGGAUACCAAUCCAGAAUAAGGAGUCACACCAGUUGAACCGAUCGGAUCAGUCGAUCGGAUUAGUCAAACUGGUCGGUUAAAUCAACGAUCGAAUAGAUUGAACAAAUUUUCUCUAUUUUUUAAUAUUUUUAAUAAUUUAUUAAAUUAAAUUGGUCGAAUCGAUUGAAACAGGAACCUGUGGUCUAACUGAUUCGCUCAUCAUUCUAGUUCUAAAAACCUUGAAUUUUGUUGAUGAUAUAUUUUAAGUAAAAUUAAUUAUUUAUUAUUUAGGUGUAAAGGUAGUGUCAAAGAAGAGGCUACAAAAAAAUUUGUUUUUUUAAUAAAUUUAAGUUUUAAAAAUUUCAAAUUUUAAAAUCCACAAAUUUAACUCGGAUUUGCACGAACUCAAAUCCAAUUUUUUUUUUUUUUUUUGUUAUGAAAUUAGAUUUACGUUUCCAAAGAGUGGAUUUGAUAAUUGUAUUAAUUAUGCAGGCACUGAAGCUGUUGUUAUAUACCAAUGUUGGGUUACAUGUAACAGCUAAGAACUCGGAAGGUUUGAUGGCUCGAGAAAUCAUAGAAAAUGUUGAAAGAAAAGGCUUGAACAUGAGUGGUGAAGAUGAUGACACUGCCGACAAGAUUAAGCGCAUUAAGAAAAAACUUGAUACCCUAGAACUAAUAUUAAUAGUGUUAAUUCGUGCAAGGAAUGGAUUGUCGGAGAACAUGAUCAACGCAACGCUGGUGACUGUGGCACUGGUUAUAACAGCAGUCGACCAAUCAUCUUUCAGCCCACCCAGAGGUGUUUGGCAAGUUGAUAACAACAGUAUCCCCACCACCACCUCAAACGUUACUACUACUGCUCUUCAAAUCUUUGACGACAAUUACAAUAACUCCAGAUUCAAACACCUGUUGGGUCAAGAAUCAAGGAAAACAGGUACAACAAUCAUGAAUCCCGACUUGUAUUCAAUGUUUUGGGUUUGUAAUCUCCUGACAUUUGAGCUUCCGCUCCUCUCCAAUGUUCCUUCUUUUCUUCUCAUCCCGCUUUAUUAUCUAAGCGUCUCCUACUUUUACUCGAUGACACUAAUAUCCCCGUCGUGGUUCUGGGAAAACGUCAAUUAUAUUCUCACGUGGUUAGCCAUUCUUCUCCCACUUCGCUUACUUCGCUUAAUCAUACGACUACUUAUGUCACCAGCUUACAAGGAGUACAUACGCUUACAUAGAGCUGUUACUAGAGCCAACAAAGUCGGGAUCAUCCAACCCUUGCUAAGGGGUAAUCUAGUUGAUAUUUUAUUAUGUCCUUGAUUUUUUUUUUAAUUGAACUUCUUUUUCUUUUUGUUUAUGUAAUUGCUUGGGAUAAAUUUAUGAAUAAAAUUACUUUGGUUAAACUACAUCAAUAGUCUUUUAAUUUUGUUUAUAUUUAUGUUUCAAUCACUAAAUUUUUAAAACUUAAAAAUUUAUUAUUAAUGUUAUCGGAUUGUUAUUAGGAUAAUACGGGUUUGAUGUGAAACGUUAAAUAUGCCAUAUGUUUAAAAAAAUUUCCUUUCUCUCCUUUUUCGGAUAUUAAAAUAUUUCUUCUUUUCACCUUAUCCUCUCUUCUCCUUCUUUCUCCACCAUUAAUGGUCUCACCAUCUUACUAUUGCCAGUACUCACCAGUCACCACUAUCAACAAUUUCACCAUCUCACCACAACCAAACAUGAACCAACAAACCGACUUUACCCAUAAUAAUACUCAAUAUAAGGUGUUUUUAUCUCUUCCCUUUAUGAAUAUAAUUGGUUCGAUUUUUUGGUUCAAACAAUCAACACUCUAACAGUCAAUAGACUGUGGGAUAGAUCACGUGCAAAACCAACCUAACCUAUGAGUAUAUCCAGAAGAGAAAAAUUAUACAAGUCCAACUCCCCCACAAGUUGCCAAUCGGCUCAUCCACCUUCGAAUUGAUUGGUGCAAUUGGAAUUACAUUGCCAAAUGAAAUACAUGAAGUUCAAGUGCUGACCAUCUACUAGAGGUGGACCAAGUAAAGACCAAUAUUCCAGUGUUGAUUCUCCAAGGCCCUCGAAGAGCCACCAACGCUGACAUCGCCUCCAGACUUGAUUGUUAUUAUUAUAUUCUUUUCAAAUUAUUUUAGUUGUUGUUUAGAAUGGAUCGUGACUAAUUUUUAUUAUGUAAACAAGUUUUGAAUAUUUUAUAUGAUUGAGAGAUUUGUAUGGAUGAUUAUAUUGAAUUUAGAGAGCAGUUAAAUUAUUCAAGUGAAAAAAGUUAUUUUGUAAUAGUGCAUUUGAUUGUAAAAUCUUUUUGUUGUGAUUUUAUAGGCUAAGUUCUCAGGUGAUAGAUCUAGUCUUCAAGGUACAAGAGUAAUUAAGGAUUUUAAACCGGGAUGUGUUAGAAUUAUGUUCAAUGGUUGUAAUUGUUGAAAAAUAGUGGAUUCUUCUCAUUGAAUUAGGCAUAGUAGGCAUAGAGAAAUUGAAUUGCGUCAACAACCUUGUUAUCCUCUAUUUUAAUUUUGGUAUCACAAUGCUUGCAGAAGUACCCACCUCUGCAAUCACUUUUGCUCGUAAUUGCGUAAAUAACAUUGUUAUCCUCUUUUUUUGCCAUUGUUUUUAUAAUUUAAAAACUUUUUUUAUAACUUUAAAAUGUAAAUUUUAGGAUUUUAGAGCUUUUUGAUGUUUUUAGAUUUUUAAAAAACAAAAUUUAGAAUUAUUGUUUAAAAAAUUUUAAAAGUAUGAAAACAAUAUUUUUAGUUAUAGUCAAUUUUGUUAUUAACCCUUUGAAUUAGCGUGUCACAAUCCUCUUAACAGGAGUUAAAGGAUGGGUGACCAAAAUAUAACAAUUUAAUAACGGUAGUAACUAUGACAUAAAUUUUGAAAGUUAAGCGACUAAAAUAUAAAUUUGAAGUUUUUUUUAGGAAUUAUUGUUAUAAGUUGCCCUAAUUUUAAAUUGAAUGAGAAAAAGAGGUAUUAGUUAUAGAAAGCAGUAGAAUGACAGACAACAAGCAUCUAUUUUUAUUGUUGGUUUAAUGGCUAUGAGUAUUCGUACUUGAUUUAUGUCAUAAGUUCCAACAAAAGAUAUAAAAUAAAUGAAAAAAGAGUAUCAAACAAAUCAUAUAAAAACAGGUUUAUAAUUCGUAUUUUUCACGAUUAAUUAUGUACGUGUUUUUAAUUUAAAUUUUAUUCUUUAUUCGAUAUGAUUGGACAGCAUAUAAUUACUGUAGUAACUAAAAAAUGACUAAAUCCCUAAACAUGUUUAAUUGUAAUGUAAAUUAUGGUUUCAGUUUAAGAAACCAGCUUCCAUAAAUAAAAAGACUGGUUGUUUAUUGAGCCACUAGAAGAGGCGGCAGAGGAGGAGUCGCCUAAAAUUGGAAAUAAAAUGAUUUAACGUCCUUCUUUCUCCUUUGAAUAUUCCAAGCUGUCCAUUAGUUUGACUAGUAAAGUCUAUAUGAAGUAUGGAUAUUAUUCCAAAUCAUCAACUUUAUCCACCAACAUAGUUGAGCUAUUAACACGUGUCUAUUUAUUUGCAUAAAUCGAGCCAAUGGUUUUGGAAUACUUUCUAUGGGAAUGGGUAUAUCCUUUUUUUGGGGUCAAAUAAAUCUGAAUUACUAUUUUGGUACAAAAUAAUUGAUAAAAAAUUUAUAAUUUAAAAAAAGAAAAGAAAAGAAGUAACAAAUGUUAUAAAUGUUCCAUAUCUUCAAUUAUUUACCUCAAAAUUUGUUUUAUGAUCAAUUUUUUUAAAAUUAAAUAAGAUUGAUUAAAAAUAUUCACCAUAUAAUUCAAAAUUUUAAACAUUUUAUUUUCAAACUCGUAUUCCUUAAUAAAUAAUAUAUUUUAAACUAUCUUGUUAAUACUAAUUUCUUGAUAAAUAUGUUUUUAAAUUAAUUACUUUUUUUUUCAAGAUUAUCUUAAAAUUUUUUAAGUUUGUGUUUGUUUAAAUAUUGAAAUAAUAGUUGGUUCACUACUCGUGUGGAGUUUUUAAAUUCCACAAGCAAGAUUAAGGUUGCCUGUAAAAUAAAAAAAAAAAUUUUUAAAAAGAGACAUUUGACAAUUUUUUAAGGUUGCUUGUGAUGGAAAAUGAAUCACACCGCGUUUUUUUUUUAAUUAAGUGUUAUAGUCGGUUUGUUGACUCCUAUUUUUUAGCAAGACUGUUAGACAAAUAAGUUUGUCUAAUCUUUAUGGGGUUAUUCUAUUUUCAUUAGUCUGUUAGUGGAGGAUCUUACUUCCACGAUUUAAUUGCAUAAUUGUUGAAGUUAACGAUAGUGAAUUGAUUUUGAUUAUCUUCCUCUCUUGUGUUAAGUAUUCCUUUAAAGUUUGUCAUCAAUGGUAUUAGAGCCAGGUUUAGCGUGUUUUGUAUUGUGUUCCAAAUACGAUGUCACAACAUCCGAGUGAUUUUAUUAAAUUUGUUCAACCUGCUAUUCCUUGCUUUGAUGGUCAUUAUAAUCAUUAAUGGAGCAUGUUAAUAGAAAAAUUUUUAAGGUCAAAAGAAUAUUGGUCUGUCGUUGAGGAUGGAAUCCAAGAGUUGGAAGUUGGAACCAGUUUGACAGAUGCACGGAAGAUGGAGACUAAAUUCUUAGAAAUAACAGUAUAUGGACUAAUUUUUAAAUUUGUAAAAAGUACAAGGACUUAUGAUAUAUUUUAACAUUUUAUUAUGUUUAUACUAUAAUUUAAUUUGAAUAUUUGUUAAUGCCAAAAUGAUAAUAAUAACAUGACAUAAUAAUUAUAAUGAUGAUGAUGUGUGAAAAUAAAAAUACUUCACAUUUAAAUUGAUUAUAAUUUAAAUUUAUAUAUUUCAUAUAUCAUAAUAUUAAUGAAUUUGAGUUUAUAUAUUCUAUAUAUUAUAAUAUUAACAAAUUUGAGUUUUUUUGUAUUUCUUAUUCAUUUAGUUUUAAUUUUAGAAGUGAUUUCAGGGAUGGUUUUGACCUCGUCCUCUCCAGUUUAGUAGAUAUUCGAUUCUUUUCCCAAUUUUAUCUACUACUUUAGAUCAUUCAAGGUUAAUUUUCUCAUAGUGUUAAAUGUUUGCAAUCACUCCAAAUAAUCAUACUUGAGUUGUGAUGGAGACGAUUGCUAACUUGCUAUAUAUUAUCGAUUUUAUAGCGUAAUAUUUAAAAGUAAUUUUUUACCGCCAUACUAAAAAUUUUAAAUAUUUUAAGAGUACAAUUUUUAAAAGCGAAGCUGGUCAACUUGCCCUAAAGUAAAUGGCGAAAAUGCGUCGAAAUUAUAUUGAAGUGAGAAAUGGGGAGUGGGAGUCAAGAUAUUGAUGUCUGUAAUAGGCGGCCAUCGAUUCAUAUCCGUCAUUAGAUAUAAAUAUAUUAAUCAUUUUUUAAAAUAUUCGAUAUUUUUAUGCAAUAUAAAUAUACCCUUGAGGGAUUAGUUUAGUGUCAGAUUGAGCUAAAUCAGUUGAGGUUUCAAAUAAGGAUAGUAAUUUUGCAACUCUCCUAAUUUCUUCAUCAUUUAAAGAAAGAAACAAAAGCAUGGAUCCAAGCUUGAGAGAAAUAGCUGGAACAGGAAAUAUUGAUGCCUUGUACUCUCUCAUUGGAGAGGAUCCAUACAUGUUGGAGCAUAUUGAUCAGAUUCCUUUCAUCGAUACUCCACUUCACGUAGCAGCAAAUAAAGGCCAAAUUAAGUUUGCAAUGGAGAUUAUGAACUUGAAGCCUUCGCUUGGUCGGAAGCUAAACCAAGAUGGGUUUAGCCCCAUGCACUUGGCCUUCAAAAUGGGGCAUACCAAGCUAGUGCUUCGACUGUUGCAGACCGAUAAAGACCUGGUUCGCGUCAAAGGAAGGGAAGGGAUGACCCCUUUCCAUUGUGCAGCUGCAGCGGGGAACUCUAAUCUUUUAUUCCAGUUCCUUGAAACUUGCCCUGAAUGCGUUGAGGAUGUCACGGUUCGCAACGAGACUGCAUUACAUCUUGCUCUGAAAAACGACCACACCGACGCUUUUAAUUUCUUACUUGGAUGGCUUCGAAAGAACCGUCGUGGAGGAGGCAAGGAUUUGGAAAGAAAGGUUGUGAAUUGGAGAGAUGAUGAUGACAACACUGCGUUGCACAUUGCAGCUACAAAGCAACAACACCAGGUAUAGAUGCAUUAUAAUGAUAAGUUGCGUAUAUUCCUUUGAUAAUCUUACUAAUGACUGUUUAUAAUAUUCUACGCAGGCAGUACAACUGUUGUUGGAUUCCUUUUAUGGGUUAGAUGUAAAAGCUAAGAACUCGGAAGGCUUGACAGCUCGAGAAAUCAUAGAAAAAGUUGGAAGACAAGGGUUGAACAUGAGUAGCGCCGAAGACGAUGAUAAGACCACCGCCAAGAUUAAGCGCAUUAAGAAAAGAACUAGUCGGUCUGAAAGAGCAUUAGUAAGGUUGAUUCGUACAAAGAAUGGGUUGUCGGAGAACAUGAUCAACGCAACACUGGUGGUAGCGGCGCUGGUCAUAACAGCGAUCUACCAAUCAUCUUUAAGCCCACCGAGAGGUCUUUGGCAAGGUGAUAACACGAGUAACCCCACCACCACCUCAAACCUUACUACUACCACUAAAUUUAAACUCUUUAACGACAAUUACGCUGAAAAACUUUCUAAACAUGUGUUGGGUGAAGAAACAAUGAAACCUGGUACAGCAAUCAUGAAUCCCAACUUGUUUUUAGGGUUUUGGUUAUUCAAUUUUAUAGCAUUUGGGCUUCCGGUUCUUCUAACCGUUUUCCUUUUAUACGAUGUAGCUCGUAUUCUUCUUCUCCCGCUUUAUUUUCUAUCCGUCUCCUACUUUAACUGCAUGACAAUAAUAUCUCCGUCCAUGUUUUGGGCAAACCUCAACUUUGUUGUCAUGUGGACAGCCAUUAUUCUCCCGUCUGUCUUAGUUUUUGGAGGCGUAUGGUUAUGUAUGCUGCCAAAGCACCGGGAAAUCAGACAAAUACGCAGACGUGUCCGCAAUGACAAUAAUAUCGGAAUAAUUCAGUACUUGCGAAUGUCAGUCUAACUUAUAUAUUAUAUUUAUGUACCCUUUUCCAUUUUCUCUGUAUUAAUAUCUUUUCUUUUUGAAAAAAGAAAAAACACUAUGUAAUUGCUUUGGAUAAAUUUAAUAAAAACAGAUAUAUUUGAAGUAUUGUUUGUUUAAAAUCCACUGAUUUCUAAAUGUGUUAAUAUCAUUUUCGAGUUAUUAAUUAAAAAUAUCUUUAACAUAAAGAUAUAUGUAAUAAUUACAUACUUAUUAUUUUAUCUAUAUAAUAAAAAAGUUAUUGAUUAAAAAGAUGAAUUAAAAAAUUAGAAAAUAAUAUAUUUGUUAAUUAAAAAGUACUAUUUUUUUAAAAAAAUAACAUGAGAUAAAAAUAUAAAUAUGCGUAGGAGAUGUCUCAAAAAUAAAAUGACUAACAUUUAACUAUUUGAUCAAAUGAAUUAAUGCGUCAAGUUAUUAAAAAAUAUAUAUUUUAUCCUACAAGAUGCAUUUUACAAAAUCAACUUAUUUCUAUAAAUAUUAAAAAAAUCUACCUAAUACUCUAAUUAUUUUCUAAAAAGGACAGAUAUUGCUAGUGUACCCUAAAACUAGGAUGCGCCACGCUUUCUAAAGCAAAUAAUAAUAAUACAUUAAUCUAAAUUUCAUGAGCCCUUUUCUUAAUUCUAAGAAAUAAAAUCUCUCAAAUAAAAAUAAUACAUAAAAUAAUCUUAAGUCUCGUAUGCGAAAUUGAGUUUUUGUGUCAAAUUUGUAUAUUCGUUAUAGAAAUGAUAAAUUAAGUAAAAUUCAUGUCCAAAAUUAAUUAAAAUAAAUAAUAAAAAUAUAUUAUCAUCUAUAUUUUAUAAUAUUAACUAUCAUUUAAAUAUAUAUUGUCUACUUUAUAACAUAAAUAUUUUAUCUUUUAAAAAAUACUCUUCUUCUUCUUUUUUACAAACAAAGACUGGACAUAUUUAUUGAAGUAAUACAACAAUGAGAAUAAAAAACAAAAACCAGCCAAAUAAAUAUAAACCCUAGGACUUAAAACAUUUUUCAUCUAAAAACAAGAAUAUUAAAAUACUGAAAAACCUCCAAAUUUACCGUUAUCUACAUCCAUUACUAAUCGUAGACGGUGACAAAGACAUUCGACAGAUGAUAAGCAUUAAAAAUUACUCUUUUAACUACAAUACUAAAAGCGUCCGCAAACCAUUUUUCAAUAAAGAUAUUAAUCAAGCCGGAUUAAUUUAGAGUUAAAUCGAGUAAGUCUAAGGGUGAAUUUGGAUGGGUGAUUGGGUGCUGUGCGGUACGUUUAGUUUACUUUUUGUCUCACGCUAUAGUAUCGCUACAGUAUCUAAUCUUACCGCCAUCGCUAUUUUUACACUAACCGCAGGUAAAUCCACCGCCCAUCCAAACUCACUCUAGAUUAAGUCCGUAGAUGAAUUUCCACAUCUUUUUUUAGGCAUUAAAUUGAGAGCCAAUCAAACCUUCCCCUAAUUCCCCUUACCAAUCUAUAAAAAAUUGGAUCUUUGGUUUGAUUUUAUCAAUAAAAGAAAUUCCUUCCUCGGUUUCUUAAAUUUGAUAACUUUUAUCAUUAUCAUUAUUUUGUUCACUUUUCAUCAAUAAUGAGAUCAAUUGUUUCGCUAAUAGAAUAGAAAAUAGAUAGUUACUCAAUAUUAUAAUGGUACCAUGUGUUUUUAUGUUUUUAAUUUUUAAUAUAAUUAAAGGAUGCAUUGUAAUGUAAAGAAUAAUAAUUCUAAUUAUCUAUGCUUAAAAUUAAUUCAGUUGUGCUUUCAAUCAAUGUAUGAUUUUGAUAUUGCAAGAGGUGUCCAGCUAUGUGGUGAGAUCUUGAAGGUGUGUCUUUGUAACAACUUGAGAAGCUUUUUGGAUUUUUUUUCUUCUUCUUUUAGGUUUAUUAUUAGUAAAUGAAUUUUUGCUGCAAAAAAUUAGCUUAAAAACAAAAUAUAAAAAUGAUAGGAAAUAUGUUAAUUUUAUACAACGACAAUUAAUGACAUUGCAAUAUAUUACUUAACAACAUGAACAAUCCCCACCAUCGUAUUGUCAUUCCCAAGUAAUGGCGUAUUCUCUUUACUUGGAAAAUAUCCCUCCUAACGCUGGCCGAAAUUGGUUGAAACAUUAUGCAGCUCAUUUGGUAAGAUAAUGGACGUGUUUAUUGCAUCAAAAAGAAAUAGAAGAGGUCGUCGGUUUUGUUUCGUUAGGUAUGGUAGGUUGGAAGAAGCAAAGAGAGCAUUGUGGAGUCUAGAUGGAAGGUGGUUCUCUAAUCAUAGAUUGACAGUCAGUAUGGCGAAGUUUAAACCUAGAGAUGAUUUGUGGAGGAAGGCAAAUGGGAGAGAGGUCAGACAACAUACAUAGAAUAUGGAAAGAAGAUGUGUUGAAGGAAAUACGGGGCCGCAUGCAAGUGAGAUUAUGGCAAAUAAUAAACAACAUGAAGAAAAUGACCCAAUCAAGUUGGACGAGAUGGUGGAAGAUUUAUGAAUUUCCAGAACAAAGUAGUAGAGGGAGCCAUUGAUGGAGAGAACUUGAAGUGGCUUGAAAAAUGUAUUGUGGGUAGAAUGAGAAACAAUGCUACUGUGGGGUUAUGGGGUGAUACUGGAAUUUAUAAAAUUGGAGUCCAAAGAUUAUCGGGUAAUGAUUUGUAUGAAUUGGAAGCCAAUGAAUGGGGAGAUGUUUUGCAAGUGUUUCAGAAAGUUGAACGGUGGACAACAAAGAUGAAAGAGUAAGGUGGUUAUCCUGUUACGAGAUUCCAAUACAUGGUCUUCGAGGAGGAAGUAGUUAAACAACUUGCUGCUAUUGAAUAGUAAAAUUGGUUUGAUUUAUUAUUUUUGGUGCAAACAAUCAACACUCAAACGGUCAAUCGGCUGUCGGGUAGAGCACGUGCAAAACCAACCUAGCAUAUGAGAAUAUAUCCAAAAGAAGAAACUUAUCCAAGUCCAACCCCCCACAAGUUCCCAGUCGGCUCAUCCCAUUGACCUUUCCACAACUUCGAAUUGAUUGGUGCAAUGCGAGGUCCAAUAUUGGAAGGAGAAUGGAAUCUUAACCGUGGGACCACACUUAAGCCGGCGUCCUAAAUGAUUAGAUGCGUGGAAGACGGUGGGUAUUCUUUCACCCAAUAACAUCACUACAUAUACACAAACCAUGUCUGCCCAUCUAGUGGGCUACUUGUGAUAAAACAGGAAAGCAAUGAAAAAUAAUAAUAUAAAGAAGAGAAAAACAAAAUCCUACACCUAAUAUAAUUUUUCCUAAAUACAAGAAAACAAGUUUUGGGAUAGAAAAUCAUAUCGAAGAUUAAACGAUUCAAUUCAUUUAGAUUUGAACGUUAAUUAAAUGAUUAAACAUUCAAAUCUCGUUAAAUUCAUGAACACAAUUUACAAGCUUUUUAUUAGUUAGAAUAUUCUCUAAUGCUUAAACGGUAUCAAUUCAAUCGAUUUAGUUCUUUUAUUAAGAACUAAGAACUGUCAGAGACAUUUUAAAAGGGUUACGUAUAGCAUGGGAGAAAAAGUUUUGUCAAUUAGAGAUUAAGAGAUUGAUUGCAGAGAUGAUUGCAGAGAGAGGAGCAGUUGAUAGUUAGUUGAUGGAAUUACAUUCUAUUCAUGGAAUGAUGCAUUGAGAUUGAAAGAUUUGUUUUCGACAUAUCCCAAGAACUCACAAGAUUAUAGCGACAAGAUUCACUGAGGUCCAAGUAUUUAAAAAUCCACUUUAUUUUGUACAAGAUUUAGAACAAGCAGAUUACAUUAGCGUUACACAGACUAAUACGUUAUCUUAAUAGUAUUAUUUUAAUUUACGAAAAUAAUAAUAAUGGAGCCCAUGCAUGGUUUUGGAAUCUUUUCUAUGUCACAGCUCUGGGGAUGGGGUCAAGACACAACUAUCCUUUUUUGAGGUCAAAUAAAUCUCAAUUAGUUUUUUUAACCCUCUGUAUAUUUAUCUAAUAAAAUUUUGAUAUAAUAUUUUCCACAUUUCAUAAUGAUCGAAGAAGUGUAAAAAAAAAAAGUUGAUAAAAAGUUUAUAAUUCAAAAUUGUUCCAUAUCUUGGAUUAUUUACCUGAAAAUUUGAUAUGUUAUAUAAAAAUUUAUUUUAUGAUCAAUAUAUAUCAAGAAAAAAAAUUGAUUAAAAAUAUCCACCAAAAUGAUAAGAAUGUACAUAAUUCAAAAUUUUAAACAUCUUAUUUUUAAACUGAUAUUCCUAUGUAAAUUAUAUAUUUUAAAAUAUGUUUUUAAUACUGAUAUUUCUUAAGAAAUUUGUUUCUAAAUUAAAUACUUUUUUUUUCAGAAUUAUCUUAAAAUUUUUGAAAUUUAUGUUUGUUUAAAUAUUGAAAUAAUUUUUGAUACGCUGCUUGUGGAAAAAGAUUGACAAAAAAUAGUAAAAUAUUAAAAAAAGGACACAUACUACCAAUACACAAAAUAUAUUAUCUAUUUUAUAACAUAUUACUUAAAAUAAAUAUUUUAUUUUCACAACAAUACUAAAAAUAUAAAUUUUAGAGUAAAAAUUUUUGAAAGCGAAGCUGGUCAACUUGCCUUUAAACAAGUGGCGAAAAUGCGUCCAAAUUAUAUCAAAGUGAGAAACAGGGAGUGGGAUUCAAGAUUUUGUCGUCUGUGAUAGGCGGCCACCGAUUUAUAUCCCUCAUCAAAUAUAGAUAUAUUAAUCAUUUUUUAAAAUAUUCGAUAUUUAUAUUCAAUAUAAAUCUACCCUUGACGGAAUAGUUUAGUGUAAGCUUGGUUUAAAUCAGUUGAGGUUUCAAAUAAGGAUAGUUUGCAACUCUCCUAAUUUCUUCAUCAUUUAAAGAAAGAAACAAAAGCAUGGAUCCAAGCUUGAGAGAAGUAGCUGGAACAGGAGAUACUGAUGCCUUGUACGCUCUAAUUCGAAAGGAUCCGUACAUGUUGGAGCAUAUUGAUCAGAUUCCUUUCACCGAUACUCCACUUCACAUAGCAGCAAAUGAAGGCCAAAUUAAGUUUGCAAUGGAGAUGAUCAACUUGAAGCCUUCGUUUGGUCGGAAGCUAAACCCAGACGGGUUUAGCCCCAUGCACUUGGCCCUCCAAACGGGGCAUACCAAGCUAGUGCUUCGACUGUUGAAGACCGAUAAAGACCUGGUUCGCGUCAAAGGAAGGGAAGGGAUGACCCCUUUCCAUUGUGCAGCUGCAGUGGGGAACUCUAAUCUUUUAUUCCACUUCCUUGAAACUUGCCCUGAGUGCGUUGAGGAUGUCACGGUUCGUAACGAGACUGCAUUACAUCUUGCUCUGAAAAACGACCACACCGACGCUUUUAAUCUCUUACAUGGAUGGCUUCGAAAGAACCGUUGUGGAGGAGGCAAGGAUUUGGAAAGAAAGGUUGUGAAUUGGAGAGAUGAUGAUGACAACACUGCGUUGCACAUUGCAGCUACAAAGCAACAACAUCAGGUAUAUAUGCAAUAUAAUGAUAAGUUGCGUUCCUUUGAUCAUUUUAUUAAUUAUGACUACUUAUAAUAUACUACGCAGGCAGUACAACUGUUGUUGGAGUCCUUUUAUGGGUUAGAUGCAAACGCUAAGAACUCGGAAGGUUUGACAGCUCGAGAAAUCAUAGAAAGGGUUGAAAGACAAGGGCUGAACAUGAGUGGCGCCGAAGACGAUGAUACCACCACCGCCAAGAUUGAGCGCAUUAAGAACAGAACUAGUAGGUCUGAAAGAGCAUUAGUAAAGUUGAUUCGUGCAAGGAAUGGGUUGUCAGAGAACAUGCUCAACGCAACACUGGUGGUAGCGGCGCUGGUCAUAACAGCAAUCUACCAGUCAUCUUUAAGCCCACCAAGAGGUCUUUGGCAAGGUGAUAACACUAUCCGCACCACCACCUCAAACCUUACUUCUACUACUAAAUUUACACUCUUUAACGACAAUUACGAUAUAGCAAGUUCUAGACAUGUGUUGGGUGAAGAAACAAGGAAAACUGGUACAGCAAUCAUGAACCCCAACUUGUUUUUAGGGUUUUGGUUAUUCAAUUUAAUAGCAUUUGGGCUUCCAGUUCUUCUAACCGUUUUGUUUUUAUCCAAUGUACCUAGUAUUCUUCUCAUCCCGCUUUAUUAUCUAUCCGUCUCCUACUUCAACUGCAUGACAAUAAUAUCUCCUUCCUCGUUUUGGGCAAGCAUCAACUAUGUUAUCAUGUGGGCAGCCAUUGGUCUCCCGUUGCUCUUAGUUGUUAGAAGCGUAUGGUUAUGGAAGCAGCCAAAGUACAGGGAAAUCAGACAAUUACGCAGACUUUUCCGCAAGUAAAAUAAUGUUGGAACCAUUCAACGGUUGCGAAUGUCAAUGUUGUUUAUAUGUUCUCUUACGUUAUGUACUUUUUUCCAUUUUCGGUAAAAAAUUUAUGUAAUUGUUUUGGAUAAAUUUAAUAAAUAAGAUUACUUUUUCCAACAAUAUCUUUGUCCUUUGCAACAGAAAAAAAAAACAUAGAAAAACCAACCAUCCUAUUUUAUAAUUUAAAAGAAUAUUUUCCUUUUUGUAAAAAGAGAUAUUUUCGAAGUAUUGUUAAUUCAAAAUUAACAAAUUUUUUAAUAAAUCGAUAUUAUUCUCUAAAUAUUUUCUAAAAAAAAUACAAAUUCAUAAACAACAGCUAUAUUCUUUUUCGUUGUGAUUUCGGCAAUAUAAGGCCGAAUUAAAUUUGUAAAAAGGGGUUACGAAGAUUGUAUCAAGAAACGAUUAGAAGAAUAUAAAAAAAAACAACACAGAGAAAAAUAGCAAUUUGGAGAGGUGAUUUUCUCUUUGGGAUUUUCUUUUCAUUUUUUCCUUUUGAUUUACUGUUUUUUGCAUAAAACAAAUAGAAAAGAAAAGGAGGAACCAUACCUGGGAGGCGUGCUUGCGAAGCCCUUCCUUGUUCUGUGCAGGGUGCAGAAUGAAGGAGUAGAGGGCUUUUGGGAAGAAGCGGCGCACGCAGGAGAGGAAUAACCUAGGGGUUUUUUUUUUUUUUAAAACCUUUAAAUGGCUUUUAUGCAGCAUACAACACGGCACCGUUUGGAGCCUGAUCAGUGGUUUCAAAACGGUGCCGUAUAGGCCUGUACCCAUGCGCGACCCGAUCCGACCCUGAGAGGAUCCGCGCGUUUUGUAAAUGGUUUAUUUUCUCGUUUGAUCCUUCUUGUUUUUCAAAAUGUGUUUAAUUAUUUUUUUCUUUUUAAAUUCAAUCACAAGUUUUAUUUCUGUUCUAAUUUAAUCCCCUAUCUGUUAUUAGUUAUUUAUUAUUAAUUAUUUUUACUAUUAUUUUUAUUAUUGUAUAAUAUCAUUUUUAUGGUGUUAUUAUUACCAUUACAACCAUAUUUAUGCAUACAUUUUUUUUGAAAUAUACGUACAUUUUUUUUAUAAUUUAUAUAUGUACAUACGUUUUUUAUAUUAC